UUCACCAGGGUCGUCUCCAUACUCUGAACUAGAGUAUUCAUCAGCAGAACACGAUCUUUCACAGCCAUCCUCCUUACUGGACCAUGCUUGGUCUGUUUCGUCGAUAUCGGAACAUUGGCUUGAAUCAAAAGAGUCUUCUUCUUCUGAGUAAUACUCCAUGGCGUCUCUUCUGUAUUUUCUUAAUGUUUACCUUGCACAAACAGAUAAAAGAAGAAUCAAUUCGUGGCUAGACAAACAAAGGAAAGAAUAAUGAGCAAAAUGGAAACUUAUUAAUUUUUUUUUUUUUGAAAAGUUUGAAAACAAGAAUGGAAAAUUCCUUCUUCUUUUUUUUUUAAUAUAUAUCAG
rnacentral:lncRNA from 1 species